AAAACCCAAAUCCUAAUUCUAGGCCCAAAUGGGUAAAGCCCAAAUCAAUAAACCCAAAAUAAUCCUCCUUCCUCUUUUCUACUUCACGUAAAACCAAAACCAAAACCCUUUCUUUGCUUUAGUUCCACGUGAAGUGCGUUGCUGCCCCUCUCCUUGCUCCAGGCCGCCGUCAACCACCUCGCCUGACCGCCGCCUGCUUCUCCAUCGUCGUCCCUCUCCUCGCUCUCCUUUACCGCCUGUAAUCCUUCGUUCUCCCUUUCUCUUCCGUUUCCCUUUUAUCCUUCGUUCUUCCUUAACCGUGUUCGGUUUCACGCAACCACAGAAGCUCCGUGAGCUUUCCUCGUCGUCGACGCAACCACCAGCGCAGCCGCCGCGCAGAUCCUGACCACCGGCUCGUGCACGCCGCACCACAUCGCUGCCACCACGCACCGCCGUGUGCCGACCACCCUCACCGCUGCCGCGCUGCCAUUGCCGCCGGCCAACAAUACCUUCUUGUUCUUCAGGGUGGAGAAUUCUCUGUAUGUGACUUUUAAAUUAUUAAAGUGGUCUCGCAGUUUGUUUAUACAAGGUACGUACAUACCUGUGUGCUUGGAAUGUGUGC